CAGAAAGCCAGGACCUAGAUGGGGGGUGGGGAGGGAGAGAGAGAGAAAUCAAUUGUUCUCACACACAGAACACUUCCAACUCCUUCCCCCUCAUACAAUAUUAUUGCAACAAAUAAAUAAAUAUGAGUUUCAUUUACCCCUUAAAACUACUAGCUUGACUGUGCCCCUUAGGCAUUUUAAAAGAAUAUACUUGAGAAAAGUAGAUAUUUUAUAUAGGUAGCAAGUCACACACACACACACACACACACACACACACACACACACACACACACACACACACACACACACAUGCGUGAGAUAUUAGGAGACGUGUAAAACAAAUUAGAUCUGAUCAGGGCUCCCUUUCUGAAUCUGACCUCUAAAAGGGUAUCUUGGAUUUGUGAUGUUACCAGGAAAAAAAUGGACUACAAAAAAACAAAUAUAAUUUUAAGCUAAAAUUAUCACUUUGAUGGAAGGAUUGGGCAUGAGGGAAGGAAGUUGUCAGAGACUGUGUAAUGAGGCUUUUUAAAUAUCAACAAUAGCCUUGAUUAUUAGAAUUAGGGCAGGGGUAAGGGGUAAAUGGAGGCCUCACCAAUUUCACAGCCCAUAAUACUGACCUAUUUUUAUUUUCAGCUUAAAGCUGUUUAAAAGCUACUUAAGAACACUGGAGUAAUACAUUAUCCAUAAAAAUCUUGAGAAGAAUGUAAUAUAGUGAAUGAAUAAGGCACUUAGAUAAUGUGAGGCCAGGAGAGGUGCAACACCUUAUUAGGUAUUCUUCAGGAGACUUUUCCUUUUUGACUGAUGGGCAAAAUGAGGAAAUUGUACCUGUUUAACAUAUAUUCACUAUGUUCUAUUUGUAGAACUUUUAUGCCUAUUAUUCUUUGGUCUAAUUUCAUUAAAGUUUUAUUUGGCUGUCUACUAAGAAACACCUGUCCUUUCUAUUGAGCUUGGCUGUGAACUAGAAAAAGUAAAAAAAAAAACAAAUAAAAAAUUCCAGAAAGGAAAACCUGCAGAAAUAUGUGGCUGGGAUUAGCUGCAGAGGAUACACACCUGGCAUAAACCUGGAAGCUGAUGAGAUUCAGCAGUUACCAAGCAACACUUGAAACCUUUAGCAGUAUCAUCACCACUCCCUGAGGCCCCCACCCUCUUCCAUAAGCUUAAUUCACCACUGGACUAUGUAAUACUUGGUAUUUAUUUUUGCUCUCCUUCAUUGUUUAAGACCUUUAAGAAUUACCAAACUGCUAAAAAAUAAAGCCUUAUAUAUAAAAACAUUUCCAAGGGUAGGUCAAACAAACAAUUUCCCAGAACAUAUAAAUCUAUCUGAAGGAGUUAACCUAAUCACCAGUCUGUCUGUCAGACCUCAAGGAAAGUGAUAAGUAAAUCAAGUAAUUCCAUGAAAUAUGGGCUUUUACCUUGCUGGCUUGACCGUCCUUUUUGUUGUUUAACCUUUCUGCCCUUCAAAACUCAAAGGAUAUGUGUGCAGUGAAUGUGCUUGUAAAGUUCUUUUAUGUUGCAUCCAACAGGGCUAAUGCAUUAUGAUUCUCUCAAUAAUGAUUAGAGGUAAGACUAUGGGAUACAAUUAGAAACAACAUUGAUGAUCUUGUUUUUUCUUUUCUUAUCUUUUUGCCAUUUCUUGGGCCGCUCCUGUGGCAUAUGGAGGUUCCCAGGCUAGGGGUUGAAUUGGAACUGUAGCCGCUGGCCUACGCCAGAGCCACAGCAAGCGGGAUCUGAGCUGCGUCUGUGACCUACACCACAGCUCACGGCAACGCUGGAUUCUUAACCCAAUGAGCAAGGCCAGGGAUCGAACCCACAACCUCAUGGUUCCUAGUCGGAUUCGUUAACCGCUGAUCCAUGAUGGAAACUCCAGAAACAACAUUGCUGAUCUUGAACAUUCGGCUAUUCCAUGGAUGCUAUCAUUAAACUCAUGGAUAUCAGGAGUGCUUUAAAAACAAACUGACAAAAGAUGUUAUAGGAAAAAUAAAAGAGAAAAUUUAAUUGGGGAACUUUUACACAGGAUAUUUAUAUUUCCUGGAGUAUAAAAAUGUGUUGCUAUGCAUUGUAGCUUGGCAGUGUUUACUUACAUUAUGUUGCUGUUCAAUGUUUUUGAAUGUAGUCUUAAGAUGAACAAGACUGCCUUGCUUUAUUACACUUAUGUACAAGUGUGGGUUUGCUCUAUUCACUCUAUUCUGCCAAAAAUAUAGUGUAUCGUGUGUCUUUAUGUUCUGAACAUUUGGAGUGAAAAAGCAAAGAAGAAUAGGUCAACAUGAUUCAUUCAGUCACUGCUGUCUGAAACUUGCAUUAGACUUGCCAUAAGGGCAGACCACAGUUUGUUUGUUUAUUUAUUUGUUUAUUUAUUUAUUUAUUUAUUUAUUUAUUUAUUUAUGGCUGCAGCUGCAGCAUAUUAAAGUUCCUGGGCCAGGAUUGAAUCUGAGCUGCAGCUGCAACCUACACCAUAGUUGAGGCAAUGCUGGAUCCUUUAAUCCACUGCACUGGCUAUCCAAUCCCUGCCUCAUAGUGAACUGAGGCACUGCAGAAAGGUCCUUAAUCCACUGUGCCACAUUGGGAACUUCCAAACCACAGUUCUUGAUUUGAGGCAGAAUUCACUGACUCAGCCCACAAACUAGCAGGGUGCUUCAGCCUUGCUGCUUCACAUUAUUUUGGAGAAAUCAAUGGGCAGAAAAUCUAAUUCCUAUGGGGCAGUAGAAAAGUCAUUUCAUAUAUAUUAGAGAGCAACUAUGGUACCUUACUUUGAAAAGAGGGAACAAUCAUCUAUUAUAAAUUCUUAGAAAUAGAGAUUGUUUAUUUCUAAAUCAUUGACUACCCUAAAGGGAAAGAUGGCAAAGACUGGUGAGUCAGAUGGUCCUGGGUGCAAAUUCAAGAUUUCCCAUAUACUAGCUGUGUUGUCUUGAGCCAGUGACUUGAGUAUUAAGAGCCAAAUUAUGAAUCUUACUCCCCAAACUCAUAUGUUGAAGUGUUAACCCCCUGUGCCUGAGAAUGUGACUGUACUUGGAGAUAAAGUCUUUAAAAAGAUAAUCAAGUUAAAAUUAAGUCAUUAAGGUGGGCCCUUAUCCAGUCUGUUUGAUGUCCUCACAGGAAGAGGAAAUAUAGACACAGGUCAGUACAGAGGGAAGGCCAUGCGAAACCAGGGAGAGGAUGGCCAUUUACAAGCCAAAGAGAGAGGCCUCAUAAGACAUCAGAUCUGCUGAGACCUUGAUCCUGAAAUUCUAGCCUCCAGAACUCUGAGAAAAUAAAUUUCUGUUGUUUAAGCCACCCUGUCUGUGGUACUUUGUUAAGGCAGCCUUAGCAAAUGAAUAUAUAUUUGACCCUUGCAAUUCUCAAUAUUCACAUUAAAUAAGGAUUGUAAAGCACCUGACCCACUUUAGGGACUCAGUGAAUGCUGAUUCCUUUGUCAUUAUGCCUCAUAGACACUAUCUUUUUUCUUAAUUUUUUUCUCUAUUCAAAAUGGAUGAUAUGCUUAGUGAUAAGCUUGUGAGACUGUUUUUAAAAAUCAUAAAAGUAAUUAUGACUCAGAAUAUAUCCAUUGAAGUUGGGUUGUUGGAGUCAAAUAGCCUUGAUCUUUUCUACGGGGCUUGCUCUUAACCUUUUGAUUGCCAGUUUACUGGAUUUCUCCAGAACUCAAUGGCCCAGAUUCACUAGUAGAGAACUGUUUCAUAAAUUAGCAAAUUGUAUUUGGGGGAAAUUACAAGUGCUUGAGACUUGAGAUAUAAACAGACCAUUUAUUAUAUAGUAAAAACCAUUCCAUACCUUUCAUUUCAGCUUCACACAGGCUUAGGAGACAGUAAAAAAAAAAGGUUCUACUUUUUGCAUCCUCCAUUUAGCCUAUAGAAACCACUACUUUUGUCAUUAUAUCAGGAAAAAUGAGUUUUUGGUACUCAGCUAAGUGGAAGACCAGAUAUUGAAUCCAGUCAACUCCAAUAAUUUUCCACAGUGAAAGAGGAAGGACAGAAAUCCAGACAAACCAGAAGAAACUCAAGAAAGAUUCUGAUAUUAGUUGUACCACAACCCUGAUAUAUGAUAUUACAAAGGCCUUUUAUCAGAUAUAAUUCUUUUGAGACCCAACUCAUUCCUGGUUGAGCUCUAUAUUGGUAAUAACUCUUGGGCAUAUAUCCAGGCAAAACUUUCCUUAAAAAAGACACAUGCACCUACAUGUUCAUUGCAGCACUAUUCACAAUAGCCAAGACAUGGGAACAACCCAAAUGUCCAUGGACAGACAAUUGGAUUAGGAAGAUGUGGUAUAUAUACACAAUACUACUCAGCCAUAAAAAUGAACGAAGUAAUGCCAUUUGCAACAACAUGGAUGGAACUAGAGACUCUCAUCCUGAGUGAAGUAAGUCAGAAAGAGAAAGACCAAUACCUUGUGAUAUCACUUAUAUCUGGAAUCUAAUAUAUGGCACAAAUGAAACUUUCCACAGAAAAGAAAAUCAUGGGCUUGGAGAAUAAACUUGUGGUUGCCAAGGGGAAUGGGGAAGGAGUAUGAUGGAUUGGGGCCUUGGGGUUAAUGGAUGCAAACUAUUGCUUUUGGAAUGGUUUAACAAUGAGAUGCUGCUGUGUAGCACUGAGAACUAUGUCUAGAUACGUAGAACGGAGCAUGACAAUGGGAGAAAAAAUUAUGUGUACGUGUGUGUUAACUGGGUCCCCAUGCUGUACAGUGGGGAAAAAAAGUGUGUUGGGGGAAAU
rnacentral:lncRNA from 1 species